rnacentral:tRNA from 1 species
AAGGUAGUACUCCAGCUGGUCAGAGCAGCGGACUCAUAAAAUCCGUGGGCCGUGGGUUCAAGUCCCGCUCACCUCA